rnacentral:lncRNA from 1 species
GGGCCAAGCCUCCUUGCCUGUCCGCUUGUACCUCUCACAAGCGUCCUAUCCUAACAAAUCUCUUUCUUGCCUAUUACUUUGCCUCACUGAAUUCCUUCUGUGAUGAGACACAAAGAACCUGAGCCUCAGGAAGUGCAGACACCAGAGGAUGGAACUGGUUCCAAAGCAAGGACCUCCCUGGAAUGAGAGAUCAACUAGGUGUGAAAAAGCAUCCCAAAGCCUCUGGACUCACUGCCAAUGCAAUUAGCUGCUACAAAAUUUGGGUAGGGAGUGUCGUGUUUCUGGAAGUGUCCAGAGGGAGCUUGGAUGAGCAAUUCUUGGAAAGAUUUUUAAAGCUUGCCCCAAGAACUUGCUGGACUCUCAUGCCAUACGAGAGACCCUCAAAGGACACUGGAUAUUUACCUUGAAGAAAAGAAAACUCUGCUGGGAGAGAGGGGUGGUUAAGAAACACUAACCCAUUUGAUAAUUUUGUGAGUACAGGGGAGCUGAGCUAUUGCUGUGUAUUCCUAUGGAGAAAUAAAUAGUAAUAGAAAUUACCGAAGCACAUUCUAAUGGAAAGGGCUAGCCAGAUAGAGAAUAUGCCUCUGAAGAGGUAAUGAGGUUGAAGUGACUAUUGUAACUUUCUGGAAAUGAACUAGAUGUUGUGUAGUAAAUAGGGGGAAGUAGGUCAAUUCGAUCCAUUAGAUUUUAUAAAAUUAUAUGAUGCAGAAGCAAAGAGAGAGCUAUUGAAUUUUAGCUGCUAUUAUGGAAGGCUAGGACUGGACUACAAUGAUUGACCCACAAUCACAGUAAUUGUUCAGGUGGACUUUGUAAAUGAGCUGAAAUCAUUCUUUUGAAAAUAACUCUUCAAAGUGAGAAGAUUUCUCCAAUCCACAUUUUCUAGUCUGCUUGGCUGUCCCCUCUGGGCUCAGUCAAAGAAACCCAUGCAGUGGAAGUAUGUUUAGCAAUUGGGCCUGUUCCCAGGUUGCGAGACAUUUAGCAAAAAUCCAGAGUUAUUAUUAGAUCUAAAUGGAGGCUUUUGUCAAAAGGCCUCUUGAACUGUUAGGAAAUCAGAGUGCAAAUUGAUAAUGACACACAACACAUCCCUGCCCUGGCAGCUCCCCGAAGGCUGCUGAGAUACCCCAGAAAGAACUUGCAUGGCCUCAUGCCAACAGCGUGUUGCUCAACCCUCGUCCUUCUCCUAAGUCGGCUUGACAACUGCAUUCUUCUCUUCCUUGUAAGAGGCAGAAGGAGAUGGAUUAAAGAGGAUGUUUGAACUGAGACUAUUAAUUUCCUUGCAGUGUGUAUUCAAGUCAGAUCCCUUUAGAAGAGCCUUUUGUGGUUUCAUAAAAUUACAACUUUGGCUAUUCGGCUGCCUUUUCCAAAGUACAAAUUUGGCUUCUAAAGAAAACACACUUCAUAGGAAAAAAGGAAAGAAAUGAGUACGUAGUUAUCUUUAAAUAUAUUCAUUUUAUAUAAUCGUUCUGUUACGCAAAGAAACAAUUACAGUAUUAACUACUUAUUAAUAAAAGAAAUCAUAAAACAUAGUGUCU